rnacentral:rRNA from 1 species
GCAAGUCGAACGAUAAGCUCACUUCGGUGAGUGGACAGUGGCAGACGAGCGAGUAACGCGUACUUAACUUGCCCCGAAGUUGGGAACAACUAUGGAGACAUAGCUAAUUCCCAAUAAUAUCCUUGUGCUGAAAUGCUAUUGGAUUAAAGAUUUAUCGCUUUGGGAGAGAGGUGCGUCCUAUCAGGUAGUUGGUGAGGUAGAAGCUCACCAAGCCUAUGACGGGUAGCCGGUCUGAGAGGAUGUCC